UUAAGUGACUAAGCGUACACGGUGGAUGCCCUGGCAGUCAGAGGCGAUGAAGGACGUGCUAAUCUGCGAUAAGCGUCGGUAAGGUGAUAUGAACCGUUAUAACCGGCGAUUUCCGAAUGGGGAAACCCAGUGUGUUUCGACACACUAUCAUUAACUGAAUCCAUAGGUUAAUGAGGCGAACCGGGGGAACUGAAACAUCUAAGUACCCCGAGGAAAAGAAAUCAACCGAGAUUCCCCCAGUAGCGGCGAGCGAACGGGGAGCAGCCCAGAGCCUGAAUCAGUGUGUGUGUUAGUGGAAGCGUCUGGAAAGGCGCGCGAUACAGGGUGACAGCCCCGUACACAAAAAUGCACAUACUGUGAGCUCGAUGAGUAGGGCGGGACACGUGGUAUCCUGUCUGAAUAUGGGGGGACCAUCCUCCAAGGCUAAAUACUCCUGACUGACCGAUAGUGAACCAGUACCGUGAGGGAAAGGCGAAAAGAACCCCGGCGAGGGAGUGAAAAAGAACCUGAAACCGUGUACGUACAAGCAGUGGGAGCACGCUUAGGCGUGUGACUGCGUACCUUUUGUAUAAUGGGUCAGCGACUUAUAUUCUGUAGCAAGGUUAACCGAAUAGGGGAGCCGAAGGGAAACCGAGUCUUAACUGGGCGUUAAGUUGCAGGGUAUAGACCCGAAACCCGGUGAUCUAGCCAUGGGCAGGUUGAAGGUUGGGUAACACUAACUGGAGGACCGAACCGACUAAUGUUGAAAAAUUAGCGGAUGACUUGUGGCUGGGGGUGAAAGGCCAAUCAAACCGGGAGAUAGCUGGUUCUCCCCGAAAGCUAUUUAGGUAGCGCCUCGUGAAUUCAUCUCCGGGGGUAGAGCACUGUUUCGGCAAGGGGGUCAUCCCGACUUACCAACCCGAUGCAAACUGCGAAUACCGGAGAAUGUUAUCACGGGAGACACACGGCGGGUGCUAACGUCCGUCGUGAAGAGGGAAACAACCCAGACCGCCAGCUAAGGUCCCAAAGUCAUGGUUAAGUGGGAAACGAUGUGGGAAGGCCCAGACAGCCAGGAUGUUGGCUUAGAAGCAGCCAUCAUUUAAAGAAAGCGUAAUAGCUCACUGGUCGAGUCGGCCUGCGCGGAAGAUGUAACGGGGCUAAACCAUGCACCGAAGCUGCGGCAGCGACGCUGAUGCGUUGUUGGGUAGGGGAGCGUUCUGUAAGCCUGUGAAGGUGUGCUGUGAGGCAUGCUGGAGGUAUCAGAAGUGCGAAUGCUGACAUAAGUAACGAUAAAGCGGGUGAAAAGCCCGCUCGCCGGAAGACCAAGGGUUCCUGUCCAACGUUAAUCGGGGCAGGGUGAGUCGACCCCUAAGGCGAGGCCGAAAGGCGUAGUCGAUGGGAAACAGGUUAAUAUUCCUGUACUUGGUGUUACUGCGAAGGGGGGACGGAGAAGGCUAUGUUGGCCGGGCGACGGUUGUCCCGGUUUAAGCGUGUAGGCUGGUUUUCCAGGCAAAUCCGGAAAACUAAGGCUGAGGCGUGAUGACGAGGCACUACGGUGCUGAAGCAACAAAUGCCCUGCUUCCAGGAAAAGCCUCUAAGCAUCAGGUAACAUCAAAUCGUACCCCAAACCGACACAGGUGGUCAGGUAGAGAAUACCAAGGCGCUUGAGAGAACUCGGGUGAAGGAACUAGGCAAAAUGGUGCCGUAACUUCGGGAGAAGGCACGCUGAUAUGUAGGUGAAGCGACUUGCUCGUGGAGCUGAAAUCAGUCGAAGAUACCAGCUGGCUGCAACUGUUUAUUAAAAACACAGCACUGUGCAAACACGAAAGUGGACGUAUACGGUGUGACGCCUGCCCGGUGCCGGAAGGUUAAUUGAUGGGGUCAGCGCAAGCGAAGCUCUUGAUCGAAGCCCCGGUAAACGGCGGCCGUAACUAUAACGGUCCUAAGGUAGCGAAAUUCCUUGUCGGGUAAGUUCCGACCUGCACGAAUGGCGUAAUGAUGGCCAGGCUGUCUCCACCCGAGACUCAGUGAAAUUGAACUCGCUGUGAAGAUGCAGUGUACCCGCGGCAAGACGGAAAGACCCCGUGAACCUUUACUAUAGCUUGACACUGAACAUUGAGCCUUGAUGUGUAGGAUAGGUGGGAGGCUUUGAAGUGUGGACGCCAGUCUGCAUGGAGCCGACCUUGAAAUACCACCCUUUAAUGUUUGAUGUUCUAACGUUGACCCGUGAUCCGGGUUGCGGACAGUGUCUGGUGGGUAGUUUGACUGGGGCGGUCUCCUCCUAAAGAGUAACGGAGGAGCACGAAGGUUGGCUAAUCCUGGUCGGACAUCAGGAGGUUAGUGCAAUGGCAUAAGCCAGCUUGACUGCGAGCGUGACGGCGCGAGCAGGUGCGAAAGCAGGUCAUAGUGAUCCGGUGGUUCUGAAUGGAAGGGCCAUCGCUCAACGGAUAAAAGGUACUCCGGGGAUAACAGGCUGAUACCGCCCAAGAGUUCAUAUCGACGGCGGUGUUUGGCACCUCGAUGUCGGCUCAUCACAUCCUGGGGCUGAAGUAGGUCCCAAGGGUAUGGCUGUUCGCCAUUUAAAGUGGUACGCGAGCUGGGUUUAGAACGUCGUGAGACAGUUCGGUCCCUAUCUGCCGUGGGCGCUGGAGAACUGAGGGGGGCUGCUCCUAGUACGAGAGGACCGGAGUGGACGCAUCACUGGUGUUCGGGUUGUCAUGCCAAUGGCACUGCCCGGUAGCUAAAUGCGGAAGAGAUAAGUGCUGAAAGCAUCUAAGCACGAAACUUGCCCCGAGAUGAGUUCUCCCUGACUCCUUGAGAGUCCUGAAGGAACGUUGAAGACGACGACGUUGAUAGGCCGGGUGUGUAAGCGCAGCGAUGCGUUGAGCUAACCGGUACUAAUGAACCGUGAGGCUUAACCUU
rnacentral:rRNA from 1 species